GACGAACGCUGGCGGCGUGCUUAACACAUGCAAGUCGAACGAAAAGGCCCGGCUUUUGUGGGGUUCUCGAGUGGCGAACGCGUGAGUAACACGUGAGUAACCUGCCCCUGUCUGUGGGGUAACUCCAGGAAACUGGGGCGAAUAUCGGAGAGGAUCUCUUGCUGCAUGGGGUGGGUUGGUGAGUGUCGGCGGUUGGGGAUGGACUCGCGGCUUAUCAGCUUGUUGGUGGGGUAGUGGCUUACCAAGGCUUUGACGGGUAGCCGGCCUGAGAGGGUGACCGGGCACAUUGGGCCUGAGGUAGGGCCCAGAAUCCUACGGGAGGCAGCGGUGGAAAAUAUUGCGGAACAGGCGGAAGCGUGAUGCAAAGACGCCGGGUGCGGGAUGACGGCUUUCGGGUUGUAAACCGCUUUGGACUGUGACGAAGAGUGAGUGACGGUAAUGAGUCAGGAAGCAACGGCUAACUACGUG
rnacentral:rRNA from 1 species